rfam:Rachicladosporium antarcticum strain CCFEE 5527 scaffold_15, whole genome shotgun sequence.
GGGCAAUUGGCGCAGCUGGUAGCGCGCUUCCUUAGCAUGGAAGAGGUCGUGAGUUCAAGUCUUACAUUGUCCA